rnacentral:SRP_RNA from 1 species
UCGUGCUAGGUGGGGCGUUAGCGGUGCCCUGUACUCGCAAUCCGCUAUAGCGAGACUGAAUGCCCUGUCGAGACAAUUCGCAGAUGGUCGCUGGAGUCAGUAUUUUGAUGUCGAUAGCUUGGUCCCGUGCGGCGAGGCAUCGUGAACCCCGUCAGGACCGGAAGGUAGCAGCGGUAAGCGGUAUCCCUCGGGUGCCGCGGGAACGCCAGGCUUGAGUCUGUACUGGCAUCUAUGUCAUAUGCGAUUGCCGAUACAGGGAUGCACGA